rnacentral:ncRNA from 1 species
GAUGGGAGUAGAAGCAGUCAGCGCCGCGCGGCGCCGGUCAUUGCUCCUUUA